rnacentral:snRNA from 1 species
AUUCAAAUGAGAACUUUGAAGGC